rnacentral:rRNA from 1 species
ACGUUUUGCGGGGGAAAGAUUAGGUAAAUAUAGGAUUUCAUUAUUAUAUGUUUUUAUAUGCCUAUAAUCUUUUAGUUGAUUUUGAGAGAAGAAUCAGCCACACGGGGUAUGAAAACUAUCCCGCCUUAUGGCAGCAGUGAAGAAUAUUAGGCAAUGUACGAAAGUAUGACCUAUCCAUUUGACGGAGAUGAUUAAGACUAUAGCAGUUGUAAAGUUUGACCAAGUACGAGAAUUAUGAUGGUAAGUACAGAAAGAAGUUGUGGCAAAUACAGGUGCCAGCAGCCGCGGUAAUACCUGAGCAACAAGCGUUAUUCAGCGUGAUUGGGUGUAAAGGGUGUGUAGGUGAAGUCAUCGAUAUAUAAUACUAGAUACAUAAGUUGGACUUAUAUAUAUGUGAAUACUUUUGAGAUUGAUUGUAGGUAAAAAA